GGCACACAUGUUAAUAGCAUACAUUAGUACCACUUGUUAAGACCAUAUGUUAGUACCAUACAUAGAUGAGCUGUUCUGCUAGCUACAGGAAGUAUCAUUCUUACUCUUAUUCAGUGAUAUAAUGUAUCCCUGUCCCAGAGGUCCAGGCCUGAGUGCACAGUAAUGUUCUUAGUCAUGGAGAGAUUCCUGACUGGGUCAGGGUUAAAUGGUUAGGGUUAUACGGUUCUUGAGUAUUAGGAUAUUUCCUCUUACUAGUGUAAACAGGCUUUCGCCUACUUGAUUUUUCAGCCUCCUAUCAGUUGAGGACUCUCUGAUGCAGGUUAUGAUCAGUUGAGGACUCUUUGCUGCAGGUUAUGAUCAGUUGAGGACUCUUUGCUGCAGGUUAUGAUCAGUUGAGGACUCUUGCUGCAGGUUAUGAUCAGUUGAGGACUCUUUGCUGCAGGUUAUGAUCAGUUGAGGACUCUCUGAUGCAGGUUAUGAUCAGUUGAGGACUCUCUGAUGCAGGUCAUGAUCAGUUGAGGACUCUUGCUGCAGGUUAUGAUCAGUUGAGGACUCUUUGCUGCAAGUUAUGAUCAGUUGAGGACUCUUUGCUGCAGGUUAUGAUCAGUUGAGGACUCUCUGAUGCAGGUUAUGAUCAGUUGAGGACUCUCUGAUGCAGGUUAUGAUCAGUUGAGGACUCUUGCUGCAGGUUAUGAUCAGUUGAGGACUGUCUGAUGCAGGUUAUGAUCAGUUGAGGACUCUUUGAUGCAGGUUAUGAUCAGUUGAGGACUCU